rnacentral:rRNA from 1 species
UACGUAGGGGGCUAGCGUUGUCCGGAAUCAUUGGGCGUAAAGAGCGUGUAGGCGGCCCGGUAAGUCCGCUGUGAAAAGUCGGGGGGCUCAACCCUCGAAUGCCGGUGGAUACUGUCGGGCUAGAGUGCGGAAGAGGCGAGUGGAAUUCCUGGUGUAGCGGUGAAAAUGCGCAGAUAUCAGGAGGAACACCGAUUGCGAAGGCAGCUCGCUGGGACGUCACUGACGCUGAGACGCGAAAAGCGUGGGGGAGCAAAACAGG